rnacentral:rRNA from 1 species
GAGUUUGAUCCUGGCUCAGAACGAACGCUGACGGAGUGGAUUAGGCAUGCAAGUCGAACGCUUGAGAUCUUCGGAUCAAGAGAGUGGCGAACGGGUGAGUAAGGCGUGAAUAACCUACCCUGAUGAGGGGGACAACCAUUCGAAAGGAUGGCUAAUACCCCAUACGCUCCUACGGGAGGAAAGCUGGCUCUGCUGGCGCUUCAGGAGGGGUUCACGUGCUAUUAGCUUGUUGGUGGGGUAAUGGCCUACCAAGGCGAUGAUGGCUAGCCGGCCUGAGAGGGUGUCCGGCCACACUGGGACUGAGACACUGCCCAGACUCCUACGGGAGGCUGCAGUCGAGAAUCUUCCACUAAUGCGCGAAAGCGUGAUGGAGCAACUCCGUGUGUGGGAUGAAGGCCUUAGGGUUGUAAACCACUGUUGGAAGGGCGUAAUCCCUGGGUGUUAAUACCAUUCCAGGUUGAACUCCCUUCGGAGGAAGCAGCGGCUAAAUUCGUGCCAGCAGCCGCGGUAAUACGAAUGCUGCAAGCGUUGUUCGGAAUCACUGGGCAUAAAGAGCACGUAGGCGGCUUAUUAAGUCAGCUGUGAAAUCCCUCGGCUUAACCGAGGAACUGCAGCUGAUACUGAUAGGCUUGAGUACGGGAGGGGAGAGCGGAAUUCCUGGUGGAGCGGUGAUAUGCGUAGAGAUCAGGAGGAACGCCGGUGGCGAAAGCGGCUCUCUGGACCGUUACUGACGCUGAGGUGCGAAAGCUAGGGGAGCGAACAGGAUUAGAUACCCUGGUAGUCCUAGCCGUAAACGAUGGGUACUAAGUGGGGGGACUCCCAAGGUCUCCCUGCCGGAGCUAAUGUGUUAAGUACCCCGCCUGGGGAGUAUGGUCGCAAGGCUAAAACUCAAAGUAAUUGACGGGGGCUCACACAAGCGGUGGAGCAUGUUGUUUAAUUCGAUGCAACGCGAAGAACCUUACCAGGGUUUGACAUCCUGCGAAUCUCUUGGAAACAGGAGAGUGCCUUCGGGAACGCAGUGACAGGUGGUGCAUGGCUGUCGUCAGCUCGUGUCGUGAGAUGUUGGGUUAAGUCCCGCAACGAGCGCAACCCACGUCUUUAGUUGCCAGCAUUUAGUUGGGCACUCUAGAGAGACUGCCGGUGAUAAACCGGAGGAAGGUGUGGAUGACGUCAAGUCAUCAUGCCCCUUACAUCCUGGGCUACACACGUACUACAAUGCUACGGACAAAGGGCAGCAAGUUCGCGAGGACAAGCAAAUCCCAUAAACCGUGGCUCAGUUCAGAUCGUAGGCUGCAACUCGCCUACGUGAAGGCGGAAUCGCUAGUAAUCGCAGGUCAGCAUACUGCGGUGAAUACGUUCCCGGGCCUUGUACUCAC